AGCGAACGCUGGCGGCAGGCUUAACACAUGCAAGUCGAGCGGGCCCUUCGGGGUCAGCGGCAGACGGGUGAGUAACACGUGGGAACGUACCCAUUGGUUCGGAAUAACGCGGGGAAACUAGCGCUAAUACCGGAUACGCUCUUUUGGGGGAAGGCUUGCUGCCGAAGGAUCGGCGCGCGUCUGAUUAGCUAGUUGGUGGGGUAAUGGCCUACCAAGGCGACGAUCAGUAGCUGGUCUGAGAGGAUGAUCAGCCACACUGGGACUGAGACACGGCCCAGACUCCUACGGGAGGCAGCAGUGGGGAAUAUUGGACAAUGGGGGCAAGGCUGAUCGAGCCAUGACGCGUGAGUGAUGAAGGCCUUAGGGUUGUAAAGCUCUUUUGUACGGGACGAUAAUGACGGUACCGGAAGAAUAAGCCCCGGCUAACUUCGUG
rnacentral:rRNA from 1 species